ensembl:processed_transcript predicted gene 13663
GCCAUGCACCCUGCCUGCCUUUUGUCAGUCACGCAGCCAAGCGUUGGCAGAGGAGUGGAUCUGUGAAGGUCAGAAUGUAUCCAGGGCAAGAAAUAGACUCCUUGUGGUUUUGCCACAUAGAAACACCUGGCAGAUCAGCUUAUUGCCCCGAUAAAGACUGAUAACCAAAGAAGAAGUGAGUGUGUUCUGUGAAAUUUGAUGUUUUAAACUGUGCAUCUUUGUCCAGGAGAUUUUCCCCUGGACCUCUCCUCCUCACAGGUGUUGCUGCUUGGUCCAAGCUGGUGUGUGUGGUGUCAAGGUUGUAGGCUCUCCCAGGCUAUAUCCAACGUAAGAACACAUAUAACCUCACCAGAGCCCAGAAUAGAACAUUUGGUAUCCUUUGUGACUCUUACAACAUUUGCCUUGCAAGCCAGAGGACCCUAGUUUGAUCCCCUUCAGAUCCUGUCAGCUUUUCAGGCAACGGGCAGAAUCCAGAAAGGUAACGGCACAAGGAUAUAGGCAUCUUUGCAGGACGGGUGGCUUUCCUUCCUUCCUUUUUCCAUUUAUCCUUUCUUUAGAAGGCAGAUAAGGCGGCAUUAUUGAUUGAGGAGUGUGCGCAUUAGCUACCAUGGCAACGCAUGUUACUAUUGGC